CUUAACAAACUUCUAUCGCUGUGCUCGCUUCGGCAGCACAUAUACUUCUAUCGCUUUACUCACUCUCCUUUGUCCGCAAGAUUCACCUUUCGACUCCGUGAGAUAAGAACCUAGCUCUCCCAUAUCAAAAUGACUGGUGUCCUUAUAAGAAGAGGAAAGAGACACAGAUGCACAAAGGGAUGGCCAUGUGGUGACAGAGGCAGACGUUAGGGUGACCCUGCCACAGCCAGGAGCGCCGGGGCCACCAGCAGCUGGAAGAGGCCAGAAGGAUCCUCUCUGAGAGGAAGCACAGCCUUGCUGACAUCUUGAGUUUGGAUUUCAGGUUUCCAGAACCGUGAACCAGUGCAUCUGGGUGGUUUGAAGCCACCCAGGGUGUGGCGCUUCAUUAAGGCAGCCCUGGGCAACUCGCACACUUGGUACGCUGGACAUGACCUGGCCACCAGGGAUGUGCAGCUGGUCUGCUUGGAGAGAAGCAAGCAGAGCCUCCAAGGUCUGAGUGGGGCCAGAUCCAUGUUCCUCUUUGAAAUGACCUGUUUGCGGUGAGGACCUUGCCAAGGAAGUAGAGGCCUGCCCACCAACACGCCGUCAGCAAUUCCGGCUCGUGGCUGGAAGAGCCGCAAGAUGGAAGGAGCUGGAGUCACCUCGAGUGAGAAGUGAGGAGACCUCUGUUGUCGAGCUAUCUUGUGUCCUGGACUGUUUGUUACAGCAUCUGGAGCUGUCCUAACCAACACCGUCUCCCCGCACUGUUGGGAAGAUGGAACAGAUGCAGAAGAGCCUAGCAUGGUGCCUGGAACACAGAGAGUGCGGGUACUUACUAGAAGUUACUUUGCUUCUUUCCUAAUUAGUAUUAACUUUUCCCCAGCACAUGGGUAGACGUGGCCUCAGACUUUUCCUAGACUCUGGAUUGAUGGUUUAGCUCAUUUUAUAAUUAUGUUAUUAAUAUGAAUGAUAAUAAAAAC
rnacentral:lncRNA from 12 species